CGCGCAUGCGCCGGCUUGAAGGCUGGCGGGUUGAGCCAGGAGCUGGAAUGGGUCGGGUCUCUGUUGUGGGGUUUGGAGAUUUCAGGAUAACCUUGGCUUUGCAGACGAGGGAAGUUUGUAGCCGUCUUCUCUCGCUUUAGUCGAGGUCAGUGACAGCCGAGCCCCGGCCUGCCCCUCCCUUCUCCUGGGCGGGUGGCGGCCUCUCUCUCCCCGCCUCCUGGGUCACGUUGCCUCCCCCUCCUCCGCUGACCUGCUUCAUUCUACAAAUGGUUGAAGGCUUCCAAUGUGCCCGAAGUCCCCCGGGAUAAAAAGAUAAAACAGAUCUGCUUGGGGAGCUAUAGUUCCUUCAUGGUACUUUUUUCUUUGAGGGGGAUGCUUAUGCUGAUCACAAACACUGCAAGGACCUGAUGCACUGCAGAGUCUUUGCAACAGUGGAUGAAUGUCAUCUUGGUAAUCUGUCUCCUGAAUUAGGAUCUCAUGGAUAUAUGGAAAUAACCAAUUUGCCUGGAGGUAGAAAAGUGUGAGGGACUGUCUGAUGUUGG